GGAGGAGUGGCAGAGUGGUUGAAUGCGGCGGUCUUGAAAACCGUUGAGCCUUUACGGGUUCCGGGGGUUCGAAUCCCUCCUCCUCCGCCA
rnacentral:tRNA from 6 species